UGUAAGCGUAUACCAAAGUUGUUGCAGUUAAAACGCUCGUAGUCGGAAUUUGGCAGUUCCGGAUGUGUGCACGUCGUGUGCGCACUUCGCGGGGAUUGCUUUUGUGGUCUUGCGUAGGAUGAGGCACUUUUAUUAGUGAACGUCCUCACGCAACCACUUUUUACUGUGAGAAAAUCAGAGUGCUCAAAGCAGGCAUUUGCCGUGAAUGUAUUAGCAUGGAAUAAUAGAAUAGGACUUGGUUCUAUUUUGUUGGUUUGUUGGGACUGAGUAAUGAUUAAGAGGGACAGUUGGGGGCAUUUGUAUUUCGGCGCUAGAGGUGAAAUUCUUAGAUUACCGAAAGACAAACUGCUGCGAAAGCGUCUGCCAAGGAUGUUUUCAUUGA
rnacentral:rRNA from 1 species